rnacentral:antisense_RNA from 1 species
GUUCAGCAAAACAAGCUUAGACGGAACACAGUGAGGUGUCUGGGCUCAGGAGUAAAAGAAACACCUUCCUUCCCUCACAUCCGUUUGUGGUUUGUUUAAGAAGAAGAGGGAAAAAAAAAAAAAAAAAAAAAAAGAGGGGGGAAAAGCGCUCAACUCUCCCCCAAGCCGCGGCGCGCACCCGUCGGCGCCGAGCGCGCAGCCUGCUCCACCGCCGCCUCUCGGUCCCGCCGCCGCCGCUGCCGCCGCCGCCGCCGGGCAGAGGCCGGGGACCGGAGAAAGGAGGAGCGGAGGAGAAGGAGGAGAGCACGGCCCGGCUGGGAUAGAUGCGGUGGGACCCUGGGAGGCCUCCGUCGUGCCCGUGCCGCGCUCCUCCGGGCCAGCGCGUCGCACACAAAGGGGCUGCCGAGCCAGAGACACCGGCGGCCUCAGGGCACCGUGGGGAGCGCGCAGCGAGGGGGCGCUGUGGCGCACCCCGCCCCGCAGCCCCGCCCCGACCCUCCCCGGCCCCACCCCACUCCCACCGCCCCCUCUGCGGCCGUCCCCACCCCUAUCUCCGCGACCCCCACACUCCUCCUCGGCUAUUCCCCAACCCUGUCACUGUGCUCCCCUCCCUACUCCCGGCCCGUAGUGGAGGUGACUUUCCUGCGCAGCGCCGCUCCUGAGGGCGGAGAACCCACAGGGAGAGCGACCCCUUUGCACGCUG